rnacentral:rRNA from 1 species
GACGAACGCUGGCGGCGUGCUUAACACAUGCAAGUCGAACGGAAAGGCCCUGCUUUUGUGGGGUGCUCGAUUGGCGAACGGGUGAGUAACACGUGAGUAACCUGCCCUUGACUUUGGGAUAACUUCAGGAAACUGGGGCUAAUACCGGAUAGGAGCUCCUGCUGCAUGGUGUGGGUUGGAAAGUUUCGGCGGUUGGGGAUGGACUCGCGGCUUAUCAGCUUGUUGGUGGGGUAGUGGCUUACCAAGGCUUUGACGGGUAGCCGGCCUGAGAGGGUGACCGGCCACAUUGGUACUGAGAGACGGACCAGACUCCUACCGGAGGCAGCAGUGGGGAAUAUUGCACAAUGGGCGGAAGCCUGAGGCAGCAACGUCGGGUGCGGGAUGACGGCCUUCGGGUUGUAAACCGCUUUCGACUGUGACGAAGCGUGAGUGACGGUAAUGGGUAAAGAAGCACCGGCUAACUACGUG